AAAUAGAAAUCAAAUAAAUGCUAAUGAGUAGAAAUAUUUUAUAUUAUAGAUCAAGAAUCCAAAGAAGAACGAGGAAAAGAAAAAGUUGCGGAAUAGUCCCAAAAUUUCAAUAUCUUCUACAAAUUAGCCGGAUUGACUUGAAGUGAAGUGGGUAGAUCGGAUCAACACAACAAAGCACACUAUCCAGAUCAAUUCCGGUAGCUUUUGUUUUAUGUUUGAAGAUUUAUAUGGCAUGUAUAGAGUUUGAAUGAAUUGAAGUAAAGAUGUUAUAAACUAGUUAACAAUAUUUGUACUAAAAUAGUUUUCGGUAAGUAGCAGUAGUUUGACUUUGAAAAAUCACUAAAAAUAGUAUAAAUGGAAUUAAAUAAUGAAUAAAUUAUGGAAUCUAA